GAAACCUUGUGCCUCUUGAGCUGCAGUCGUCACCUCUGUUAGGGUUUGUCCUAGGAGACUCAUUCUAACCCAAGCUGAAAAGCCCCGUAGGGUGAUAUUCAUCACUCUUUCUCACUCACACAUUCAAAUCUCUUCUUAUUUUUGCUCUUUUACGAGUCUUCAUCUCUCUCUUUCUCACUAAUACAUUCAAAUAUCUUCUUAUUUUUUUCUUUCUUUUUGAGUAUAGUUUGCUUUGAUCUUAAUUUUUUUUUUGUUGAGAUGAAUGAAAUGAGGAGAAGAUGGGUCAAAGGCAAGACUCUGAAGCACAAAACUUUGAACAAGAUUUGAUCUUUUUCAUUGCAGAAUGACAAUGAUCGAAGAGAGGCAAAACUCUCAAACAACACUAAAGAUGGAGAUGAAUAAACGGUUUCAAAGACACAAUAAAGGUAGAAGCUUUUCUUCUUUAAGCGGAUCUUUUCUUCUUCUCCCAGAUCUAAAUACUUAUUUAUAGUUUUUUCUUUCUAUGAUAAAUGAAUGUUUUCUAGUAGAUGAAUGAACCGUUUCAAGAACACACCAAAGAUGGAUGAAGUGUUUGAAGAACACAAUAAAGAUAGAAACUUUUGUUUGAAGAACACAAUAGGUUAUUUAUGUGAUGAUGCAAACUACUUUUGAUUUUUAUAAAGUUUGAAUAUAUAUAUAUAUAUUGUGUAUUAUGAAUUCCAUAAAAAAUAAA